rnacentral:rRNA from 1 species
AUUGAACGCUGGCGGCAUGCUUUACACAUGCAAGUCGAACGGUAACAGGUUAAGCUGACGAGUGGCGAACGGGUGAGUAAUGCAUCGGAACGUGCCCGGUCGUGGGGGAUAACGCAGCGAAAGCUGCGCUAAUACCGCAUACGAUCUGAGGAUGAAAGCGGGGGACCGUAAGGCCUCGCGCGAUCGGAGCGGCCGAUGUCAGAUUAGGUAGUUGGUGGGGGAAAGGCUCACCAAGCCAACGAUCUGGAGCUGGUCUGAGAGGACGACCAGCCACACUGGGACUGAGACACGGCCCAGACUCCUACGGGAGGCAGCAGUGGGGAAUUUUGGACAAUGGGCGAAAGCCUGAUCCAGCAAUGCCGCGUGCAGGAAGAAGGCCUUCGGGUUGUAAACUGCUUUUGUACGGAGCGAAAAGGUCUCCUCUAAUACAGGGGGCUCAAGACGGUACCGUAAGAAUAAGCACCGGCUAACUACGUGCCAGCAGCCGCCGUAA